CCACCCCCCCGCCCGUCAAGCCGCCUCGCUCCUCGAUCGGGGGGGUGUCCGUGGACAGCGGGAUGACGGGGGGCGGAGUCACGGCUCCGGAGCUGCUGGUGCAUCAGAAGCUGGAGGAGACGAGCGCCUCGCUGGCCGCCGCGCUGCAGAUCGUGGAGGAUAAGAUCCUGAGGCAGGAGGACUCCAUGGAAGAGCAGAAGACGACGGUCAGCAUCCUGGACGAUAUCGGCAGCAUGUUCGACGACCUCGCCGACCAACUGGACGCCAUGCUGGAGUAACCAUGGAAACAGACUCUGACGGCACAAUCUCUCUCUCUUCCUCUCUUCAUCCUCCUCUCUGAUGAUGAUGAUGAUGAUGGAUGAAGAGAGAGACACUUUAAGAGAGAGGGUAGAUACAAAAGGACCAAAAACAAAGACUGACGUGGAGAGAGAAGAAUAUUAAAAAAAAAGCCUGCAAUCAAACCGCGGGUGUUUUCCACUCCUGACGGCGAAACAAAAACUAAUCGAAGCACCACCUGUGUGCUGAAUCAUAGUCUGGUAUGUGUACAUUCUAAGCAUGGAGAGUUUAUAUCUACUGAAAAAGUCCUGCAUUAGCACAGUAAUAUAUGAUAAUAAUAAUAAUAUAACGAUAAAUAUGAAGCUCUUGGUUUGAUGUCUGUGUGGAACCUCUGGUGUUGUGACCAUGUGAAAGGACUCGGAGGAAAGAUUUGUAUCCGUGACCAAAACAAGCUCCUGAGGUGUGUGUGUGUGACAGUGUGUGUGUGACAAUGUGUGUGUGUGUGUGUUUGAGACGGAUGUGUGCUUGUGAAUUGUUGGAAUUUCAGGAUUGAGUUUCCUGUCCUGGCUGCGGUCAUACACUCUGCUCCAUCCUCAUUAUUUCCGCCCCCUCCAAA